UUUUUGGAAGGGUUGUAUUUAUUAGAUAAAGAACCAAUAUUUUUUUUUGGUGACUCAUAAUAACUUUACGGAUCACAAUAAUUUAUUUUGUGACAUAUCAUUCAAGUUUCUGACCUAUCAGCUUUAGACGGUAGGGUAUUGGCCUACCGUGGCUAUGACGGGUAACGGGGAAUUAGGGUUCGAUUCCGGAGAGGGAGCCUGAGAAACGGCUACCACAUCUAAGGAAGGCAGCCGGCGCGCAAAUUACCCAAUCCUAAUACAGGGAGGUAGUGACAAGAAAUAACAAUACAGGACUUUCCGGUUUUGUAAUUGGAAUGAGUUAAGUAUAAACCCCUUUACAAGUAUCAAUUGGAGGGCAAGUCUGGUGCCAGCAGCCGCGGUAAUUCCAGCUCCAAUAGCGUAUAUUAAAGUUGUUGCAGUUAAAAAGCUCGUAGUUGGAUUUCUGUUAAUACCUUAUAUAUAAUAUUUUUUUUUAAAUAUUAAUAUGUAAGAUUAACAUAAUUCAUAUUUUUAAGACUGAAUUUUUAGUUUUGAUAAUAUGAAAUUUUACUUUGAGAAAAUUAGAGUGCUUAAAGCAGGCUUUUGCCUUGAAUACUCCAGCAUGGAAUAAUAAUAAAAGAUUUUUAUCUUUUUUUUAUUGGUUCUAAGAUAAAAAUAAUGAUUAAUAGGGACAGUUGGGGGCAUUUGUAUUUAACAGUCAGAGGUGAUAUUCUUAGAUUUGUUAAAGACAAACUAAUGCGAAAGCAUUUGCCAAGGAUGUUUUCAUUCAUCAAGAACGAAAGUUAGGGGAUCGAAGACGAUCAGAUACCGUCG
rnacentral:rRNA from 1 species